rnacentral:rRNA from 1 species
UACGUAGGGGGCUAGCGUUGUCCGGAUUUAUUGGGCGUAAAGAGCGUGUAGGCGGCCAGAUAGGUCUGCUGUGAAAACUCGAGGCUCAACCUCGAGCUGUCGGCGGAAACCAUCUGGCUAGAGUCCGGAAGAGGAGAGUGGAAUUCCCGGUGUAGCGGUGAAAUGCGCAGAUAUCGGGAAGAACACCUGUGGCGAAGGCGGCUCUCUGGGACGGUACUGACGCUGAGACGCGAAAGCGUGGGGAGCAAACGGG